rnacentral:tRNA from 1 species
UCCCACGUGGCUCAGUUGGUAGAGCAUGGUGUUUGCAACGCCAGGGUUGUGGGUUCAAUUCCCACGGGGGAC